CAUGGAGGGUGAGAAUCCCGUCCGGUUGAUCAUUUGCGUUUUACGAUACGCUUUCUAAGAGUCAAGUUGUUUGGGAUUGCAGCUUAAAAUGGGAGGUAAAUUUCUCCUAAGGCUAAAUAACGGCGAGAGACCGAUAGCGAACAAGUACCGUGAGGGAAAGAUGAAAAGAACUUUGAAAAGAGAGUUAAACAGUACGUGAAAUUGUUGAAAGGGAAACGAUUGAAGCCAGUCGUACCUUCGGGUAAUCAGCCUUUCGGGUGCGAUUCUGUGGAGUGUGAGGAGCUUAAACACCUUCAUGUUUUGCAUAUUCGUACUCUUGGGUGUACUUGCCCGUGUGGUUGGUUAACAUCAAUUUUGGUGGUCAUAAAAUGACUGGGGGAAUGUAGCUUCGAUCUUGUAUUGAAGUGUUAUAGCCUUCGGUAGAUGUGAUGAUCGAGAUUGAGGAUUGCAACGGAUACCCUUCGGGGCUACCUGUCUGAUCUCUGA
rnacentral:rRNA from 1 species